AGAAUCAACGCUGGCGGCGUGCCUAACACAUGCAAGUCGAGCGAGAAAGGGUAGCAAUACCUGAGUAAAGCGGCGCACGGGUGAGUAACACGUGGAUAACCUGCCUCGAAGUGGGGGGAUAACACCGGGAAACCGGUGCUAAUACCGCAUACCCUGACGAGAUCUGCGGAUUUUGUCAGUAAAGGAGCAAUUCGCUUUGAGAGGGGUCCGCGGCUGAUUAGCUAGUUGGUGAGGUAAUGGCUCACCAAGGCAUCGAUCAGUAGCCGGUCUGAGAGGACGGUCGGCCACACUGGAACUGAGACACGGUCCAGACUCCUACGGGAGGCAGCAGUGGGAAUUUUUGGCAAGUGGGGAACCUGACCAAGCAACGCCGCGUGGAUGAUGAAGUAUCUUGGUAACGUAAAUCCUUACGACGGGACGAACGCAAGGUGACGGUACCGUAGAACGAACGCCCGGCUAACUCCGU
rnacentral:rRNA from 1 species